GACGUCACUAAACUAGAUGUCUUCUUUUUGUAUCAGUUCUAGUAUUGACAGUCCCCAGGACUGACAGGACCCAUGUUUAGAGUGGACUAAACUGAAUAAAUAAGAACUGAACCAACACUAGUUGGUAGGGCUUUUGGUUAAUCAUUGUACGAGGAUUUAAAUGGCUAAAUUGUUGAAAAAAAUCAACCAAUUUAUGGAGGUUAAGAUUCAUUUUUUUUUACAAUGUUCCGAUGAGUAAUGUUGUAAAACACAAAAUUUUCUGUCGAUUGCUUAGAAAAACAUUGUUCUAGUAGCCACCGUGAACACACAGUACGAGAAGAGGAUUAAUAUCCCAGCACUUCACCCCACAGGAUUGUCCCAGAAGGCCAUCUGGAAGCAGAAUGAAGCCUCAAAGAAGACGAUUUACAAUUUAUCCAUGCGUUUGAUUGUAAGGGGGCGGGGACCUAAGGGGAACCUGUUGACUCAUUGUGAUAUUUUCCAGUGAGAACACCUUUAUUGCUGGCCCAGUCUUAAACAGGAAGAUUGGUCGGUUAUUGACAUUUGGGGAUGUAGCAGAGGAGCGGAGCAACAAUAUUUCGACACCACCAAACACCCCACUUCAGGAUGAUGUUAGGCCUCAUUGCAUCCAAAACAGAAAAGCUAUUUAUCCCGUAUAGUUACUUAUAGGAUACAGGCCGAAGGCUGAGGAGUACGUCAAAUAUUCUGGCCAUUAAAGUUGUCCCCCGAAUCAAAUCCAUCCUUGACAAUUCUCCCUGUGUGUUCCAACAAGAAGGAGUAUCUGCCCACACCGCAAAGAAAGCCCAAGAGUGGCUUCAGGCCAACAUGCACUUCUGGGCAUAGGACUGCUGACCGCCGCAGAGCCCAGACCUAACCCCCUAGACUAUUCCAUAUAGGUGCACGUGGAGUCCAAGACCUGCAGUAGAUACCACAACAGUACCCGCCCCUUGAAGACAAUGGUCAAAAGAGCCUGUGCCUCAAUGAGCGCUAAGUAAUAUCCAGGGGAUCUGCAAGCCACCGCUUGCAACUCACGGAUACAUUGACAAAAACAUGUCCAUUGGGUUUCAAUUAAUAAUUAAUAGUUCAUAAACUUAUUUCUAAUUCAUCCAGGAUCCUCCCAUGGACUUCAAUACUUUUUGUGUUAAAUGGGUAAAUAAUAACAAUUUGCCCGGUAAUUGUUAUCCGUCUUUAAAAUCCGUAUAAAACUCUUAUGUACAUAAUUCUAUUUAAGAUAAUAGAGAGUUCAUAUUGUUCUCAAAUUUGAGUACAAAAAAGGAAAUAAUUGUAUUCUUUACAAAAUAGCCAAUAUAAAUUAUUAAUUUAAUUUCUUGACAUACCUAUAGAAUAUGUUUUCCAAAGUUCUUGUAAAAAGAGUUGAUAGCUUAUCUAAAAAUUUAACCAUGUUAGU
rnacentral:lncRNA from 1 species